GGCAUGGGACAGGGUAGUAGUAGAAUUUUGAUUGAUGAUCUUAAUUGCAUUGGUACGGAAGAUGACAUUUCUGAGUGUAGAUCAAGAGAAUGGGGAGUCCAUAACUGUGAACAUUCUGAAGACGUUGUAAUUACUUGUGAUUACAUAGAAAACAUUGAUCCGUGCAAACCAAAAGAAUACACCAGACUACCGAACCUUGAAGUUCGAUAUGCUAAUAUACAUACUGCUGAACUGCAAAGGAAAUAUAAUGAUUCUAAAUUGCCACUUCGAUGGUAUAAUGUUGGAAACAAUACCUUUCCUGAAAAGGACCUCCAUUAGACCACUGUGGAACUCACUUUCCAGUAUACAGCAAAGAUCAAGUGCCCGAUCAAAUAGAUCCAGUCACUAUUAAAGCGACUCAAGUAGGAAAUUCAAGUGUGAUUUACAACAUACUCGCAAAACACUGCAGUAAUGGUGAUUACGUUUAUAGACUUGGUCCAACCCACAACGAUCAAAGUGGAUACUGUU